AUGGAGAUGGGUUCGUGGCGAGUCAUGCUUAAAGCCCAACAAAGCGCCUGUCUCUGCACCGGCCGCCUCGCCCCCACCCCGUCCGUAGCCCGCUGUGCCCCUGGGCUCCAGCGCUGCUUGGCGGUAGAGCUGCCUGUUGACCGCCCUGCCCCAUCACAGGCCACGGCCCUGCAGGCCCCCGGGGUGCUGAGACCUCAGCCUGGGCGGCAAAGGGGCCCAGCCUUGGCUUGCCUGCACGCACCCUCUGCCACACUCGAGGGAAAACCACCCUGGCUGCUUUACCAGCAAUGCCUGUGGCUGCUGCAUCGGGCACCCCAAAACUCUGGCCUGGUCUCGGUCUCUUCCCGCGCAGCCUGGGGGUGCCGACGGCAAAGAAUCGGGAACAUGCAGGACCUGGGCAGGCAGGUUGGCCAUGCCAUGAGUCGUGACCCACCACCAGCGGAUCAGCCCAGACCCUCCCUCACUCCCCUACGCCCUGGAGCUGGCCGCUGGCUCCUCUCCUGCAGCUCCCCUCUCCCCUCUUCCAUCCCGCUCCUGCCGUGUUCCCCCUGCCCACCUGGCCCGGAGGCUGCUAGGACACCGACCCUCUCUGCUUUCAGCUUUGGGUCCCGAUGCCAUGUGCCUGCACAAACUGCCAUCCUCGAUGCUCUGAGCUGCACUGCCAGCGCGUCGGAGAUACAGCAGGCAGGAGCCCGGGCAGCUUCAAGCAGCUGGCAUGGCAGGGCAUCCUGGAUGGUGCAGGUGGCCGGUCUGGUUGGGUGGCUCCAGGGAGGAGGCCCUCGCCUUCCCCUCUCCAACGCCGGGCCUCUGCCCUGCUGCGUGGCGCUCUGGCUGUGCUCCUCCCGGGACGGCACGGGCGAAGCAGCGGGUUUUGCAGAGGCAGGGCUUCUCUGCUGGCUACGUGGGCUUUGCUGCUUUCUUGGGACCCGGGGGCUUCAACGCUGGCUUCCCUCAGUCACCCAGGCAUGCCCAGCAGGGAGACGUGCAUCUCUUGCUGCCCCCCGCUGCUAG
rnacentral:lncRNA from 1 species